AAUGAAGAGGAGGGGCAGUUAAACGCUGCGCGCACAAACCCAGUCCCGGGGUGUGUGACGGGCACACAAUGGAAAAUAACCAAAGAGCACACACAUCAGACCUGAGACUGCAGUAUUCUUUGGAGAAAAAUCAGAAAGAGAUGUAUCAGGCAGGCAGAGCAAGGUAGAAAAGGAAGAAGAGUGAACCUGAAAGGACAAUGGAAGAUAUCAAAAUGUAUCUGCUAUCAACUUUAUCUUAUAACUGACUACCUUGUCCAAAAUGGACCUUCUGUCCAUCUGUCUCUACUCAUCUUACUCCCUACCACAUCACUGAUCAUCUCCUCCAUAUCACUAACUUCCGUGGG
rnacentral:lncRNA from 1 species